UACGAAGGGGGCGAGCGUUAUUCGGAAUCACUGGGCGUAAAGCGUGCGUAGGCUGUUCGGUACGUCAGGAGUGAAAGCCCAAGGCUCAACCUUGGAAGCGCUUUUGAAACUACCGGACUCGGAUUUGGGAGAGGAUAGCGGAAUUGUCAGUGUAGCAGUGAAAUGCGUAGAUAUUGACAGGAACACCAGUGGCGCAAGCGGCUAUCUGGACCAACAUCGACGCUGAGGCACGAAAGCGUGGGGAGCGAACAGG
rnacentral:rRNA from 1 species